rnacentral:rRNA from 1 species
CAGUAGCCGCGGUAAUACGGAGGGGGCUAGCGUUGUUCGGAAUCACUGGGCGUAAAGCGCACGUAGGCGGCUUUGCAAGUCAGAGGUGAAAGCCCGGGGCUCAACCCCGGAAUAGCCUUUGAGACUGCAUCGCGUGAACGUCAGAGAGGUGAGUGGAAUUCCGAGUGUAGAGGUGAAAUUCGUAGAUAUUCGGAAGAACACCAGUGGCGAAGGCGGCUCACUGGACGACUGUUGACGCUGAGGUGCGAAAGCGUGGGGAGCAAACAGGAUUAGAUACCCCGGUAGUCCCUGUCUCUUAUAC